AAAUCAAGCAGUUCGAGAUUAUGUGAGAAGAUAAACUCGUCUACACUCUACAGAUACACUCUACAGAUAACUAUCCUGUGUACUCUGGGUUAUGCCUUUCCCCCCAGUGAAUGACCACAUGCCAUGUGCAAGAUUAGAGAAUUCCUUGAAUACAAGCCACAUUUAGGGAUCAGAGAUGUCAACAGGACUGGACUUGGAUUAUUUUUUGGUAUGUAUAUAUGUGUGUGUUCCCCUCAGCUGGUGCUAGCAGCAGCACGCUCCUCUGACUGUGAGGCCUGGUUACUACUUGUUGCUGGUACUACUGUUCACGGUGCAGCAGCCCCGACAGCUAACAUGUCUGUUAGUUUGGCACAUUUUAUUGCAUCUAUUUUUGUUUUUACUAUUUUCUCUCAGCUUUCCAGCUCCACCUUCUCGCCAUUUGAUCCAUGAGCACACAGCAUAGCUAUGGGAGGGGCCGGUCACGUUACGAGAUUUGAUUGGGCAAUCCAGUGUCAGUCAUGAAAAUGAACCAAUGGACUGCUGUCACUGCUUGUUCGGCCGGUGCAUAGUGGCCCUUCAGGCAAAAAAGUGAUUGUUUUUCAAUUUCUUUUUUCCAGUUUAUUUUUUUUUCUUUUUUUCUUUUCAAUUUUUUUACGUUAAUGUCUUUACUUGUAUUGGGAAAUAGACUUUAUGAGCAUGAUUUACAAAUGGGGUUAUAUAUAAAAUUUCAAAAUUAACAUUUUUCAAGUGAUGACUUUGUGUUAUUGUACCUACUUUAUAACCAAUCCAACCCUUUAAGGCCACUUAAAAUAUCCUUAUAGACCUAUUGUUAUAUUUGUUGCAAUUUCUGCUAUUCUCUUGGCCAGAUUACUCUUAAAAUACAUUUUUUAAUGUAAGUGAGACCUUUUAACAUGAUAAAUAAAGGAUAUAUAAAAGUCGCUUUGCAAAAAAGUGAUUGCGGCUUUCACCUUGUGAUAGGAAUGUCGUUUGUGGCUCAAGAUGACUUGAUAUCAUUCAUGAUGGACUGGACACAAUUGACAUAUAGGCCAAAAAGUUAUUUAUAGCAGUUUAAAUACAGGCAAUCACUUUUUGGCAAAAUGCUGGAAAUCAAGUUUUGGCACAACUCAACCCAAAAGUGCGUUGUUCCACCGAGAAAAUGAUGAGUCGUAGCCCUUUAGAGUUUUUCAGCAAAUACAAAAUGAAGUUUUUCUUUGGUUUUCUGACUGAGGCCAAAUUGUGAAGAAAUUAGCCAUGCUAUUUAAUGAAACAGCAUCACAUAAACACAAGCCUUAUAGGACAGCCGGCCUUUUCUGAGAAAACAGCUUGAGAUCCUGGGGAAUCAUAAUGAACGACAAACAGUACAGAAGGUAUCAUGAUUAUAAUAAUUAAUUAAACCUUAACAAACAGUAGAUGUAAACAAAUAGAUAUUUAAACAAAAUAAAAAAAACAGACAAAACAAUAUUGCUCACAAAAAUAAAAGAAAUAUAUAUACCUGUGUCUUUAGUUUUAGUCAAAUCUGUUGACACUUAAAAUCAGAGGACACACUGAUCUAUUUAUUGAAUUUUAUAUUACAAAGCCACCUUCACAAAGUGCUGUGUUUGCAUCACCCCUGAAAACUGACCAUAUUGUCAAAUUAUAUAUAAAAAAGAAACUUACAAACAAACGUCUUGAUGCAUGCUCAAUCAUCCUGGUAGGGAAAUCGCUAAGACUGAAGACGUCACUUGGAUGAGCGAUGGAAUGUUUUUCCCACUGAAAACGCUAUGUCCAGAUGAACAGAAUCAACUUUUUGGGACUUACAAACAAACAAACAAACAAACAAACAAACAAACAAACAAACAAACAAACAAACAAACAAACAAACAAACAAACAAACAAACAAACAAACAAAAACUGAACUGAAAUGAGAAAGCCCACCCUGGAAACAUACUAGAACUAAUGUACUGAACUGGAAAAAAAAGAUAAUUAAAGUAAAUCAGGAAAUUAAGUAAUCAUGAAACUGUAUAUCUGAAUAAUACAUGGUCUCUAUGCAAGUUUAAAUAGACAAAUAUUAAACAAGAUACUAAAAUGUCCUUUAUGUGCUUGGCACUAUCAAAAAGAAUAAUAAUAUGUCCUACUAUUCUUAUGCAGAUGAUACACAGUUGUGCUUUUUAUUUUUCUUUAAUCAUCUAACUACUGUUCACAGUUUAAUAAGCUGCACUGAUAACAUUAACUGAUGGAUGUAUAGAAACUUUUCAGAACUGAACAGAGACAAGACAGAAAUAUUUGUGAUUGCACCAAAAAUGUCAGAAACAGAAUUUCGUCCAUGUUUAUCUUCUUCUCUCUGAACACAGUGAGCAAGUCAGGAACCUUGGCAUUAUUUUGGAACUCAGUUUGGAUAAUUAUACAAAUAAGGUCGCCAGAACAGCUUUCUACCACUUAACAAGUGUAUGAAAAGUUAGAAAAUAUAUUUCUGAGACUGACUUUGAAAAAUGGGUCUAUGCAUUCAUAUCAAGCAGGCUAGACUACUGUUUGCCAAAUCAUUAGUAGGGUUACUUCAGCUUGUUCAGAAUACAGUGGCCAGAGUCCUUACAGGCACAUUGAAAUUUGAACAUAUUACUCCAGUACUGAAGUAACUUCACUGGUUUCCAGUUCAGGACGGAAUUAACUUUAAAAUACUUCCUACAAAAACAAACAAAAUACAAAAAUUCAGCAGCCAGAUUUUUUGGUGUCAGUAUACUAAACAGCGAUUGGCUCUCUUUACUCAUGAUGAAGCAGCCUGCCGCUGAUCCUAC
ensembl:lncRNA